GCCGGGUGUGGUGGCUCACACCUGUAAUCCCAGCACCUGGGAGGCUGAGGUGGGUGGAUCACUUGAGGUCAGGAGUUGGAGACCAGCCUGGCCAAUAUGGCGAAACCCUGUCUCUA
rfam:Pan troglodytes isolate Yerkes chimp pedigree #C0471 (Clint) chromosome 2A, whole genome shotgun sequence.